rnacentral:rRNA from 1 species
GAUGAACGCUAGCGAUAGGCUUAACACAUGCAAGUCGAGGGGCAGCAUGGUCUUAGCUUGCUAAGACUGAUGGCGACCGGCGCACGGGUGCGUAACGCGUAUGCAACUUGCCUCACAGAGGGGGAUAACCCGUCGAAAGACGGACUAAUACCGCGUACACUCCAUCUUGGGCAUCCAAGGUAGAGGAAAUGACAUUCGCUGUGAGAUAGGCAUGCGUCCCAUUAGCUAGUUGGUGAGGUAACGGCUCACCAAGGCGACGAUGGGUAGGGGAACUGAGAGGUUGAACCCCCACACUGGUACUGAGACACGGACCAGACUCCUACGGGAGGCAGCAGUGAGGAAUAUUGGUCAAUGGGCGAGAGCCUGAACCAGCCAAGUCGCGUGAAGGAUGACUGUCUUAUGGAUUGUAAACUUCUUUUAUACGGGAAUAACAAGAGUCACGGGUGACUCCCUGCAUGUACCGUAUGAAUAAGCAUCGGCUAACUCCGUG